AAAGUGAAAGACGGUCUUGCUGUCACUUAUAGAUGGAUCCGCGCUGCAUUAGCUAGUUGGUAAGGUAACGGCUUACCAAGGCAACGAUGCAUAGCCGACCUGAGAGGGUGAUCGGCCACACUGGAACUGAGACACGGUCCAGACUCCUACGGGAGGCAGCAGUAGGGAAUCUUCCGCAAUGGGCGAAAGCCUGACGGAGCAACGCCGCGUGAGUGAUGAAGGUCUUCGGAUCGUAAAACUCUGUUAUUAGGGAAGAACAUAUGUGUAAGUAACUGUGCACAUCUUGACGGUACCUAAUCAGAAAGCCACGGCUAACUACGUGCCAGCAGCCGCGGUAAUACGUAGGUGGCAAGCGUUAUCCGGAAUUAUUGGGCGUAAAGCGCGCGUAGGCGGUUUUUUAAGUCUGAUGUGAAAGCCCACGGCUCAACCGUGGAGGGUCAUUGGAAACUGGAAAACUUGAGUGCAGAAGAGGAAAGUGGAAUUCCAUGUGUAGCGGUGAAAUGCGCAGAGAUAUGGAGGAACACCAGUGGCGAAGGCGACUUUCUGG
rnacentral:rRNA from 1 species